ACCGGCGCACGGUGAGUAACGCGUAUGCAACUUGCCUAUCAGGAGGGGGAGUAACCCGGCGAAAGUCGGACUAAUACCGCAUGAAGCAGGGAUCCCGCAUGGGGAUAUUUGCUAAAGAUUCAUCGCUGAUAGAUAGGCAUGCGUUCCAUUAGGCAGUUGGCGGGGUAACGGGCCCACCAAACCGACGAUGGAUAGGGGUUCUGAGAGGAAGGUCCCCCACAUUGGUACUGAGACACGGACCAAACUCCUACGGGAGGCAGCAUG
rnacentral:rRNA from 1 species